CGCUUCAUCUUGGGCCAAAAUGAAAUGACACUCAAGUUUUCGAGUAAAAUUAGAAGACAAAGAAAAUGGAAUGGGACUUAAUCGAAUAGUGCAGGAAAGAAGGAGGGACCAUAACCGCAAAUAGCCCUUUUGAGCCUCAAAAACAAGCGGAUCGCCCUUUUAAUUGGGUCGGGUCACGAGUUUUCCCCCCUAAACGACACCGUUUUGAGGAGUGGGGGGAGAAGUGCAAAACUAUGCCGUUUUGCAUGGCUAUUAAAGCCAAGUUUUCUUUUAUUUUUUUCAUUUCAGCUUUCAUUUUUUUUAAAAAAAAACAAAAAGCUUCUUUGCUCUUUCUCCCUCUCCCUUUCUCCCUUGCAGCUAGGGUUUUGAAACCCAUUAUCACCGCCGUUGUCACGGCACCACCAUGGGCGGAGGUUGGGCGGUGCAACUCCGGGGCUGUCCAGGUAAGUGUUUCCUUCCCCUUUUUAUUUUUUGUGUUUAAAAUUAAUUUUAUAAAUAAAAAUAAAAAGAUAAAAAAUAAAAUGAAAUAAAAAGGGACGAAAGAACACGAUAAACAGAAUAAAGAAAAACAACCUUUUCAAGCUUUUGUUUUGCUUUUCGAUUAAUGGUGUGUGUAAAAAAUUACAAAAGGAUCGAUUUUGGCCUUUAUAGUCGUAUACAAGAUUCGCUCAUUGUCUUUUUUCGUUUUGUUUUUUGCCAAUUUUGUCCAUUUCUUUAUUGUUUGUUUUGUUUGCUUGUUGAUUUGGCCUUGCAGAUAGUGUCAGUGGCGUUAGACGCAUAGAGGAGGCGUGCGUGGAGGAGCAGCUCGUAAGGCGGUCUGCUGACAUGCGGCGGCUGAAGGCAGAUGGGGGCUAGGGUUUUUUUUGUGUUGUAAUGUUUUGAGUGAGCUAGGGUUUAGUUUGGGCCUUGUAAAUUGGGUAGGAUAGAUUUGACUUUUGGGCUAUUGUUUGAUUUGUGCCAUUUUAAUGUGUAAAUGGACUGUUAAUAAAUAUUUGGAUUUUUACUUAUUUUUGGUUUAUUUUGUUUUAUAGACAUGGGCCAAAAUUGGCUAUUACAUGCAUAAUUGUGGAUUUUUUCCGUUUCCAAUUGUCAAGUGCUUCAUCUCUGAAAAUAAAUUCACAGGCCUCUUAUGCACCCUAUUUACUUUGAAACAAUAAAUGCUAUUAAAGAGGUGAAGAACUAUGGAGGCAAUUACAAGGUAAUUUCAGUGAUUUCUUAGAAUGACUUCAUAGGUCUCAUUUCCCAACAAAUUACUUUCAAACUUAUCAACGAAAGACUUCUAAAGUUUGUAAGCUACUAGAAAGGUGAACAUGAGCCAAAUCAUUUGAAAUAUAAUACUUUUUUCUAG
rnacentral:lncRNA from 1 species